GUAUAAUAAUACAAUUAUUUACGGCUGAAUACAGUUUUAAUGGUGGUCAACUUGAGAUACCAGCUUUAAGGCACGCAGGCAUGUAUAAAACCAUGGGGCACGAGGUCAAAAUAAAAUCAGUAGACUCUACACAAGACUGACCAAGUUUCUAACAUCCUUUGAAGCUACAGGAAAGGGAAGGAUGCCGCUACAGUCGAAGAGAAUCGGGCCUAUGGAGAUGUCAGCGAAGAUAUAAACACUUUUCAACAAUCACUAGGCCUAUACAUUGAGCCUACAGUUAUUAAUUUUUAAAUCUUGAAAGUGAUUUACUUUUGUUUACAGAUUUGAUAUAUUAUAAGAAUAUUUUGUUCGCUUGGUUUUUUGGUCUCUUUUGUGAUUUGACCUUCUAUAAAAAAUGUAUAUUUUGGGCUUUGU